GAGUUUGAUCAUGGCUCAGAUUGAACGCUGGCGGCAGGCCUAACACAUGCAAGUCGAGCGGUAGAGAGAAGCUUGCUUCUCUUGAGAGCGGCGGACGGGUGAGUAAUGCCUAGGAAUCUGCCUGGUAGUGGGGGAUAACGCUCGGAAACGGACGCUAAUACCGCAUACGUCCUACGGGAGAAAGCAGGGGACCUUCGGGCCUUGCGCUAUCAGAUGAGCCUAGGUCGGAUUAGCUAGUUGGUGAGGUAAUGGCUCACCAAGGCGACGAUCCGUAACUGGUCUGAGAGGAUGAUCAGUCACACUGGAACUGAGACACGGUCCAGACUCCUACGGGAGGCAGCAGUGGGGAAUAUUGGACAAUGGGCGAAAGCCUGAUCCAGCCAUGCCGCGUGUGUGAAGAAGGUCUUCGGAUUGUAAAGCACUUUAAGUUGGGAGGAAGGGCAGUAAUUAAUACUUUGCUGUUUUGACGUUACCGACAGAAUAAGCACCGGCUAACUCUGUGCCAG
rnacentral:rRNA from 1 species